rnacentral:rRNA from 1 species
UACGUAGGUCCCGAGCGUUAUCCGGAAUUACUGGGCGUAAAGUGUCCGUAGCCUGAUAUUUAAGUCUAUUUUCAAAUAUCUCAGCUUAACUGAGAGAAGGGAAUAGAUACUGUAUAUCUGGAGGUCUUUGGAGGUUAGUGGAAUUUCCGGUGGAGCGGUGAAAUGCGUUGAUAUCGGAAAGAAUGCCGAAAGCGAAAGCAGCUAACUACAGAGAACCUGACGGUGAUGGACGAAAGUUUGGGGAGCAAACGGG